rnacentral:miRNA from 1 species
UUAGAUUAUAGUAGAAGAGUA